rnacentral:lncRNA from 1 species
CGGCGCAGACAGUGACAUCAUCAGAUGGUGCAGGCAAGGGCCACGUGGAAGACCGACAAAGAAAGACUGAACAAGUAUAUUUGCUGUGUGCACAAAAAAGAUUUCUAGGUGGCUUUGCGUUCUUUUCUUUCGAGAUGGUGCUGAUACAAGCGUGUUACGCUGCGGUGGACUUUUCAGCGAGCCGAUGCCCUCCAGGCUUCCUCCGAGGAACUCAUCCCGAGCGACAUGGAGAAGGUCUGGAUCACCAAUGGCAGACUGACUUGGAGUGCUGUUUGCAAAGACUGAGGAAUUGGAUUCUGACAACUCAGUCAAAGGCAGACACAGAAAUGUACAACUUGGGUAGAGUCACUAAUGGAAGCCUAAAGAUAGGCCUUUAAGGCUUCAGCUGUUGCAUAGUCCACUUGUGAACACCAGGGUUUCCAUCCAUAAAAGAGAAGCCAGAGGUGGGGAGAGGUGAGUUGCCAGCUGCCGUCCUGUAGCAGCUCUGUGCCGGCAUGGGUCUGACCUGUGUGUCCCACUUG